rnacentral:rRNA from 1 species
GUGCCAGCCGCCGCGGUAAAACGUAGGAGGCGAGCGUUAUCCGGAAUCACUGGGCGUAAAGGGCGUCUAGGCGGAUGGGCAAGCGAGGUGUGAAAGCUCCCGGCUCAACUGGGAGAGUGCGCUUCGAACUGCCCGUCUAGAGGGAAGCAGAAGGGGGUGGAAUUCCCGGUGGAGUGGUGAAAUGCGUAGAGAUCGGGAGGAACACCAGUGGCGAAAGCGGCCCCCUAGGCUUCUUCUGACGCUGAAGCGCGAAAGCGUGGGGAGCAAACGGGAUUAGAUACCCCGGUAGUCCACGCCGUAAACGAUGGUGACUAGGUGUGGGGAGCGUACAGCAUCCUCGUGCCGCAGCCAACGCGAUAAGUCACCCGCCUGGGGAGUACGGCCGCAAGGCUAAA